rnacentral:misc_RNA from 1 species
GAUGAAGAACGUAGCGAAAUGCGAUAAGUAAUGCGAAUUGCAGAAUUCAGUGAAUCAUCGAAUCUUUGAACGCACAUUGCGCCCGCCAGUACUCUGGCGGGCAUGCCUGUCUGAGCGUCAUUUCAACCCUCGCGCCCGGCUUCUGUCGGGGGCGGUGUUGGGGAUCGGCCUCCCGUCUUCCGGGCGGCCGGCCCCUAAAUGGAGUGGCGACCGCGCCGUAGCCUCCUCUGCGUAGUAGUGAAACACUCGCGGGCGGAGAGCGGUGCGGUCCGCCGUAAAACCCCCAACUCUUCUAAGGUUGACCUCAGAUCAGGUAGGAAUACCCGCUGAACUUAAGCAUAUCAAUAAGCGGAGGA